AUGCUGUUGAAGUGUGGCGUGCCCAGAAUGGCCACGUAUACACGAACUCAGACAAUCGUGCGCCACCGCGACGCGCCCCUCCAAAAGCGCUUAUCCCCGCCGCGCCCGAUCCCGCACUGCGCCGACCGGCCCGCGGCCAUGGCGGCGCCACCUCUCUCUCCACUCCUCUGCAGUGCCGUCUCCUCCUACCGCGCGACGCUCCUCGCCCCUCGUGCUCUCCCCUAUCGCGUGGCGGCGCGGCCGAUGGUCUCGCCCUGCUCGUCGCCCCCGUGCAUCGCCCCCUCGCUGCGGCGAGCAGGGGCCCGGGCACCACCGCCGUGCGCGGCCAAGCGCGGCGGCGCCGGAGGCGAGGCAUCUUCGAGUGACGGGGAGGGCACGCGCGUGCUGCUUCAGGCGGCGCUAUGGGGCGCCGAGGCCGCCUACAUACUCUGGCUCUUCCUCCUCCCGUACGCUCCGGGUGACCCGUUGUGGGCUAUCUCGCAAGCCACGAUCACUGACCUCGUCGGCCUGUCGCUCAACUUCUUCUUCAUCCUGCCCUUGAUCAGCUCCGCUGGAGUGCACCUGCUCGAAUCCCCUGUGAUGCACCCAGUGGACGAAGGAUUGUUCAAUUUUGUAAUUGCCUGGACGCUGCUAUUUGCGCCGCUCCUCUUCACGGAUGCUAGGAGGGACCGGUACAAGGGAUCGCUCGACAUCUUGUGGGGCUGUCAGAUGUUCCUUACAAAUACUUUCUUGAUUCCUUACAUGGCAAUCCGGCUCAACGAGGUCGACAAGAACCAGCCUCCACCGCAGACAACAAAACUGAGUUCAGUCAUAGUGAGAGGUGCAUCAGGUGUAGGCAUAACUGGUGGCCUGGUCUGCAUUCUAUCCGUUGCUUGGGCUUUCUUUGGCCGUGCAGAUGCUGAUUUUGGAGGCGUCUUGGACCGGUGGCAAUAUGCGCAGGAUUAUUUCUUGACCGAGCGAUUUGCUUAUGCAUUUCUGUGGGACAUAUUUCUAUACUCGAUGUUCCAGCCAUGGCUGAUUGGAGACAAUCUUCAGAACGUAAAACCAGAAGCUACAGCGUUUGUGAAUGUAGCAAGGUUUAUCCCAGUUCUUGGUAUUGUUGCCUACCUCUUGUGCUUAGAAGAGAAAAAAGAUUAG
rnacentral:rRNA from 1 species